rnacentral:rRNA from 1 species
AUUGAACGCUGGCGGCAGGCCUAACACAUGCAAGUCGCACGAGUGGCGGACGGGUGAGUAAUGUCUGGGAACCUGCCUGAUGGAGGGGGAUAACUACUGGAAACGGUAGCUAAUACCGCAUACCAUCGGAUGUGCCCAGAUGGGAUUAGCUAGUAGGUGGGGUAAUGGCUCACCUAGGCGACGAUCCCUAGCUGGUCAGAGAGGAUGACGAGCCAAACUGGAACUGAGACACGGUCCAGACUCCUACGGGAGGCAGCAGUGGGGAAUAGUGCACAAUGGGCGAAAGCCUGAUGCAGCCAUGCCGCGUGUAUGAAGAAGGCCUUCGGGUUGUAAAGUACUUUCAGCGAGGAGGCGUUACGCGCAGAAGAAGCACCGGCUAACUCCGUGCCAGCCGCCGCGGUAAUAC